GACGAACGCUGGCGGCGUGCCUAAUACAUGCAAGUUGAGCGAUGAAGAUUGGUGCUUGCACCAAUUUGAAGAGCAGCGAACGGGUGAGUAACGCGUGGGGAAUCUGCCUUUGAGCGGGGGACAACAUUUGGAAACGAAUGCUAAUACCGCAUAAUAACUUUAAACAUAAGUUUUAAGUUUGAAAGAUGCAAUUGCAUCACUCAAAGAUGAUCCCGCGUUGUAUUAGCUAAUUGGUGAGGUAAAGGCUCACCAAGGCGAUGAUACAUAGCCGACCUGAGAGGGUGAUCGGCCACAUUGGGACUGAGACACGGCCCAAACUCCUACGGGAGGCAGCAGUAGGGAAUCUUCGGCAAUGGACGAAAGUCUGACCGAGCAACGCCGCGUGAGUGAAGAAGGUUUUCGGAUCGUAAAACUCUGUUGGUAGAGAAGAACGUUGGUGAGAGUGGAAAGCUCAUCAAGUGACGGUAACUACCCAGAAAGGGACGGCUAACUACGUG
rnacentral:rRNA from 1 species